rnacentral:rRNA from 1 species
AUUGAACGCUGGCGGCAGGCUUAACACAUGCAAGUCGAGCGGGGAGAUGUAGCUUGCUACAUUUCCUAGCGGCGGACGGGUGAGUAAUGCUUAGGAAUCUGCCUAUUAGUGGGGGACAACAUUCCGAAAGGAAUGCUAAUACCGCAUACGUCCUACGGGAGAAAGCAGGGGAUCUUCGGACCUUGCGCUAAUAGAUGAGCCUAAGUCAGAUUAGCUAGUUGGUGGGGUAAAGGCCUACCAAGGCGACGAUCUGUAGCGGGUCUGAGAGGAUGAUCCGCCACACUGGGACUGAGACACGGCCCAGACUCCUACGGGAGGCAGCAGUGGGGAAUAUUGGACAAUGGGCGGAAGCCUGAUCCAGCCAUGCCGCGUGUGUGAAGAAGGCCUUUUGGUUGUAAAGCACUUUAAGCGAGGAGGAGGCUACCUGGAUUAAUACUCUAGGAUAGUGGACGUUACUCGCAGAAUAAGCACCGGCUAACUCUGUGCCAGCAGCCGCGGUAAUACAGAGGGUGCGAGCGUUAAUCGGAUUUACUGGGCGUAAAGCGUGCGUAGGCGGCUGAUUAAGUCGGAUGUGAAAUCCCUGAGCUUAACUUAGGAAUUGCAUUCGAUACUGGUCAGCUAGAGUAUGGGAGAGGAUGGUAGAAUUCCAGGUGUAGCGGUGAAAUGCGUAGAGAUCUGGAGGAAUACCGAUGGCGAAGGCAGCCAUCUGGCCUAAUACUGACGCUGAGGUACGAAAGCAUGGGGAGCAAACAGGAUUAGAUACCCUGGUAGUCCAUGCCGUAAACGAUGUCUACUAGCCGUUGGGGCCUUUGAGGCUUUAGUGGCGCAGCUAACGCGAUAAGUAGACCGCCUGGGGAGUACGGUCGCAAGACUAAAACUCAAAUGAAUUGACGGGGGCCCGCACAAGCGGUGGAGCAUGUGGUUUAAUUCGAUGCAACGCGAAGAACCUUACCUGGCCUUGACAUACUAGAAACUUUCCAGAGAUGGAUUGGUGC